GGUUGCGUAGUGUAGAGGUUAUCACUUCAGACUUUGAAUCUGAAAACCCGAGUUCGAAUCUCGGCGCGACCU